rnacentral:rRNA from 1 species
AAGGAAGCACACUUCGGUCAUAGAUUAAGCCAUGCAAGUGUUAGUUCAGGGAACGAAACUGCGAAUAGCUCAUUAAUACGCUCAGAAUCUAAUUGGCAGCAACCGGCAGGUUUUAGAUGGGAUAGCAGCAGUAAUUCUGGUGCUAAUACAUGCAAUUGUUUCAUCGGAAGUGAAUUACGAUGGAAAAGUUGACCGCAAGGCAAGCCAUUCGAUUGAGCGACCUAUCAGCUUGUACUUAGGGUCUUUACCUAGGUAGGCUAUCACGGGUAACGGGCGGUUACCGUCGGACUGCCGGAGAAGGCGCCUGAGAGAUAGCGACUAUAUCUACGGGUAGCAGCAGGCGCGAAACUUACCCACUCGAGACAUUCGGAGGUGGUAAUGACCAGUUUCAAGUCAGCUCUUCACAGUUGCUUGAAUAGGAUUACACUUUUCCAGUGUAGUGAAACCUAGCAGAGGGCCAGUCUGGUGCCAGCAGCUGCGGUAAUUCCAGCUCUGCGAGUUUGCUCCCAUAUUGUUGCAGUUAAAACGCCCGUAGUCGGAAUUAUAUUUAUCUAUGCGGCCACAAACCGCGUUCACUGUGAACAAAUCAGGACGCUUAGUGUAGGGAAUAGUUUGAAUGACUCAGCGCAGUAUGAUAUCUUUACCUUUGGUAAGAUCAACGAGAGCCAACGGGGGUAGAUCUAUUUCAUGGCGAGCGGUGGAAUGCUAUAACCCAUGAGAGAGAAACGAAGGCGAAGGCAUCUACCUAGCGGGUUUCUGUCGAUCAAGGGCGAGAGUAGGAGUAUCCAACCGGAUUAGAGACCCGGGUAGUUCCUACCUUAAACCAUGCCGACAGGGGCUUAUCCUCUUAUGAGGGUAGGACCUUAGGAGAAAUCAUAGUUCUUGGGCUCUGGGGGAACUACGACCGCAAGGCUGAAACUUGAAGGAAUUGACGGAAGGGCACACCAGGGGUGGAGCUUGUGGCUUAAUUUGAAUCAACACGGGGAAACUUACCAGGACCAGAUGUUUUAGAUGACUGACAGGCUGCAGGUCUUUCAGGAUUUGACUUUUGGUGGUGCAUGGCCGUUGGUGGUGCGUGGGUUGACCUGUCUAGCGUUGAUUCAGAUAACGAGCGAGAUUAUCACCAAUUAAUUACCAUGUAAUUCUGAGAAAGAUUCUUGGUUCUAAUUGGGACUCCCUGCGUCUAAGCAGGAGGAAGAGGGUAGCAAUAACAGGUCCGUGAUGUCCUUUAGAUGCCCUGGGCUGCACGCGCGCUACAAUGUGAGGAUCAAUGAGUUACAAGCCACGAAAGGGCAAGUCACUCUCAUAAUCCCUCACGUACCUGGGAUUGACGGUUGUAAUCACCGUCAUGAACCAGGAAUCCCUUGUAAGCGUGUGUCAACAACGCACGUUGAAUACGUCCCUGCCCUUUGUACACACCGCCCGUCGCUCCUACCGAUGGAUGAUUCGGUGAAAUCACUGGAGAAUCCGCUUGAAGGUGAUUAAACCAUAUUAUCUAGAGGAAGGAGAAGUCGUAACAAGGUAACG